CUUGCUCAGUGGGUUAAAGACCUGGCAUUGCCAUGAGCUGUGGUGUAGUUUCCAGACACGGCUUGGAUCCCGCAUUGCUGCAGUUCUGAUGUAGACCAGCAGCUGCAGCUCCAAUUCAGCCUCUAGCCUGGGAAUCUCCAUGUGCUGCUGGUGUGGCCCUUAAAGACAAAAAAAAAAAAAAAAAAAAAAAAAAANCAUGAUCAUCUCAAAAGACACAGAAAAAUAAUUUGACAAAAUUCAACAUUCAUUUUUGAUAAAAACUUUCAACAAAGUACUUGCAGAGGGAGCAUAUAACAUAAUAAAGGCCAUUUAUGAAAACCCAUAGGUGACAUCACACUCAAUGGUAAAAUACUGAACACUUUUCCUCUAAAAUCAGGAAUAAGACAAGGGUACCCACUCUUGCCAUUUCUACUUAACAUAGUAUUGGAAGUUCUAGCCACAGUAAUCAAGCAAUAAAAAGAAAAAAGAAGUAGCCAAAUUGGAAGGGAGAAAACAAAACUCUCCCUAUUUGUUGAUGACGUGAUACUAUAUAUAGUUUUCUAAUGUCUUCACAAAAAAACUAUUAGAACUAAUAGAUGAAUUCAGUAAAAUUGCAGGAUUCAAGAUUAGUGUACAGAUCACUUUCUUUUCUAUACACUAAUAAUGAACUUUUGAAAGAGAAAGUGAGAAAACAAGCACAUUUUCAAUCACAUCAAAAAUAAUAAAAUACCUAGGAAUAAACUUAACCAAGGAGUGAAAGACCUAUACUCUGAAAACUAUAAAAUACUAAUGAAGGAAAUUGAAGCUGAUAUAAAGAAAUGGAAAGAUAUCCCAUGUUCAUGGACUGGAAGAAUUAAUAUUGUUAAAAUAUCCAUAUACCCAAAGCAAUCAACAGAUUUAAUGCAAUCCCAAUCAAAAUACCCAUGACAUUUUUCACCAAAUGGAACAAAUAAUCCUAAAAUUUUUAUAGUUAGAAAAGAACAGUAACCAAAGCAAUCUUGAGAAAAAAAGACCUUAGCUGGGUGCAUCGUGCUUCCCAUUAGAAUACAAUGAAAGCUACAAUAAUUAAGACAAUGUUUUACUGGCAUAAAAACCAAAUGCAUAGAUCAAUGUAAAAGGAUGGAGAUCCCAGGAAUAAACCCACCCCCCUGACAGUCAAUUAGACUAGGACAAAGAUGGCAGAAUUAUACAGUGGGAAAGAAAAUAUUUUCUUUCUUUUUUUUUUAAAAAAAAAUAUUUGUUUCUCAGAGUUCCCAUCAUGGCUCAGUGUUAACAAAUCUGACUAGGAACCACAAGGUUGCUGGUAUUUGUAACUUGGCCCCCAUGCUGUACAGUGGAAAAAAUAAAUAAAUAAAUAAAUAUCAAACAACCUAUGCAAAAAAUAGGCAGAAUAUCUUUACAUAUAUUUUUUUCAAAGAAGACAAGCAGAUGGCUAACAGGCACAUGAAUAGAUGCUUGACAUCACUAAUCAUCAUGGAAAUGCAAAUCAAAACCACAUUGAGAUAUAAUGUCUCCACAAUUUAAUUUAACAGAGAAACAGCUGAUCUGGAAAUUAUUUCAACAGUAGCUACCCAUAAUAAUAUGCUAAUGAUUCAAAGGGAAUGUUAUUUAUGCCAACAGUGUUAGUAUAAUUUUAGUCCACAAAAAAGGUAGAAUAUGCUACCUAUAACAUGCUGAAAUAUAUCAUGGAUUAUAAACUUUGUGAAGUAAGGGAGGAAAAAAUUCUUUUUCCUUCUUUCUGAGGUGCUCCAGCAGAGGCCCUAUAAAUUAGAUGGACAAAAGACAGAUUAACAAGAGAAAAAUGAACAGAAAUUUAUUAACAUGUACAUGGAGUAUGUUAACAUAUGGGGGUACCCAGAAAUGAGUAACACAGAAAGUUGUGGUUAGAAUUUGGAGUCUAUAUAGCUAACCUAGUAGAGGAAAGAGAGGGAAAGAAAGGGCAAGUAUGGAAAAGCAAGUAACUUUCUGUAAUGACAAAAGGAGAAUAAAUGGGAGAAAGAGUAGUUUGUGACAGUGUCUGGCUGGGUGUGGUGCUCCUAAAGAGAAGAUUAGAGCAUCUAGGGAAUUAUGACAAUUGAGUUCUUUGGGGAGGCUCUACUUUUAAGCAGAUAAAAGAUUUCAGGAAUUCAAACGCAUCCAGUUCAAAAUAAUUCUUAUACCAAAGUUCCAUAGUUUGAGUUGGUAUGUCCUGGUUCCCAUCAGUGACAUCUUUUUAGCCUUCAUACAGUCCUCAUGUAUUGUACGAUCUGGAAUAUAUUUAACCAUGUCCAUGGUCUGCCUGCCCUACUCUGGGGCCACAUGUUAUGUUACUCAUAAUGGGUACCUAGUAAUUAUAUACUGAAAAUUUUGGAAGGCACUUGAUAAAUGUUUAUUUAAUUUGAUUUAGGGUGAUCAAAGUAGUUUAAAUAAGAAUAUCUAGAAAUAUGGUUAUUAUCAUUAUAAAGCCUAUGAUGGCCUCCAGAAAAAGACAAGUAGAUAAUUCAGAAUUGUAUUGAUGAGAAUAAAGUAAUAUCAAUCAUAUCAAAUGAUAAGUGCUUAAUAGUAGGCCAGCUUGACUUCAGCUUAGUCCUUUUGGUAGCUCAUUAUGCUUUUGUCACAGUCUUUUGAGGUCCUUGUGGAUUGUUUGUUUAUAUCAUUCCAGCCAGCAGUCUCAACUCAGCCCCUGGUUUAUGCAUGAUAUACAUGUUGUCUGUUGCAAUACACAGGGUCCACAUAAGAUGUCAGCUAGUGUAUCUGGCAAUGCUAGGUAUAAUGAACCACAUCCUCUGUUAUUUGCUUGCUCCAAAGUUUUCACAAUACUUCCCUGAAUCUGUGACUAUCCCAGUAUCAGUUCAUUCUCCAGCAUACAGCAGGUAGAUCUACUGAAAAUUCUAUAAAUCAUAUAUGGGAAUAAACAUCAGAGAAGUGAGCAGUUAUAAUUUACCCAUCAAGUUUGAUUAUGCAAAUAAUACCCCUGAUCAUUUCUCUCAAUCUUCAGAACAACUUUGUGAAGUAGUCAAGGCAGGGUAUUGGAAGGCUAUUGCCACAAUAAUGCUAUUUAACAAAUAACUACAAAAUCUAAGUGGUAUAAAAUAUAAGCAUGUAUUUCUUACUCACAGGUCUUCAGGUCUGCUGGAAUAGGCCUUAUUCAAACUUCAAGUUAAGGUCAGCUAUGUUCUGUGGCCCACACUGAGGAGGAAGCAACUACCUAGAGCACAUCCAUUUGGCUGAGAUCAAAAGUUUUCAGAGGAGCAAGUAAAGGACACAAUGCCACAUACUCCUUCGGUGUAAAAUUGGCCCACUGUCAUUUCCACUGGUAUUCUGCUGGCCAUGUUGCGUGGCCAUCUGUGGUUUGCAAUAUGUUCUCUCUACUACCUAGAUUGGCUUUAUUUGAAAAAAUUCACAUAAAAUCAUCCAAAGUUAACAAAAUGAUACAUUGAACCAUACUUACAGACAAAAAUUUGUCCCCUCCCUUAUUCAUAAGAUUUAUUUUGCGUUAUAGAGCUCAAAUUUAUGAGCAGUUUAGGGGAAAUAUCUGCCCCUAAAUUGCUGCUGGUAUUUUGUAAAGGACAUUGUGUCAUUGGGUCUUCCUGAAAGAAGCCCUAGGUAAAAUAUUUCUUUCACACUAACUGCUAAGAAAAACUUUACUUCCUCUGUACAAUUGAUAUGUUCUUUUUCCUUCAUGAUAACUCUGUGAUUGUGUUGUUCACUGCCCUUUGAGUGUCAAGAUUUUUUUCAGAACCAAGUUUUCACCUAUAAAAAAUCAAUGGGAUUUUAUAAUCCUCCGAAUUACUCUCUGGAUCCUGCCAUUCUAUUAUAAUUUACAUUUUACUUGUUUUGAUUCUUCUUUUUAUAUAUCACAUUAUAUGCAUUUUUUUUCUAUAAGCCAUAUUAUGUCUUUUUGGAAUGAAGCAAGAUAGAAGGCAGAACAAAACAAAUAAAUAAAACUAUACCCUGCCAAAUAUAUGUGAUUAAGAAGAGAGAAAUCAGCUGGUCUGUUUUUCUGCUUUCUAAUUUUAUUAAUUGCCAUUGGUAGAAAGAUAUUUUGUUAAUAAUCAAAAUUAAAUAUUUGGAGAUUAAUUUUUCUAAAAGAAUUUAAGGAUAGACUCAAAGGGGAUUCAGUGAAUUAUCUCUAAGUCUCCCCUCUGACACUAUCCCCUCCCUAAGUCUCUCCUCUCCCCACCUCCAAUCUGAACCCACAAAAGGAUGUGAGCUUUCUUUUCUCCUAUUAAUUCUUAUCACCCUGCUUCUGACUUCAUGGGUAUGGUUUAAAUAGCUUCCAUAACUAGGAUUUAAAAAGGAAGCAUAUGGAGUUCCCAUCAUGGCUCAGUGGUUAACGAAUCCGACUAGGAACCAUGAGAUUGCGGGUUCAAUCCCUGGCCUUUCUCAGUGGGUUAAGGAUCCAGCUUGCCAUGAGCUAUGGUGUAGGUUGCAGACGUGGCUCAGAUGCCACAUUGCUGUGGCUCUUGUGUAGGCCGGUGGCUACAGCUCUGAUUAGACCCCUAGCCUGGGAACCUCCAUAUGCUGCAGAAGUGGCCCUAGAAAUGGCAAAAAGAC
rnacentral:lncRNA from 1 species